rnacentral:rRNA from 1 species
UACGUAGGGUGCGAGCGUUGUCCGGAAUUAUUGGGCGUAAAGGGCUCGUAGGCGGUCUGUUGCGUCAGUAGUGAAAACUCAGGGCUUAACCCUGAGCCUGCUUCCGAUACGGGCAGACUAGAGGUAUGCAGGGGAGAACGGAAUUCCUGGUGUAGCGGUGAAAUGCGCAGAUAUCAGGAGGAACACCGGUGGCGAAGGCGGUUCUCUGGGCAUUACCUGACGCUGAGGAGCGAAAGUGUGGGGAGCGAACAGG